CAAUAGCGUAUAUUAAAGUUGUUGCGGUUAAAAAGCUCGUAGUUGGAUUUCUGCCGAGGACGACCGGUCCGCCCUCUGGGUGAGUAUCUGGCUCGGCCUGGGCAUCUUCUUGGAGAACGUAGCUGCACUUGGCUGUGUGGUGCGGUAUUCAGGACUUUUACUUUGAGGAAAUUAGAGUGUUUCAAGCAGGCACACGCCUUGAAUACAUUAGCAUGGAAUAAUAAGAUAGGACCUCGGUUCUAUUUUGUUGGUUUCUAGAUCUGAGGUAAUGAUUAAUAGGGAUAGUUGGGGGCAUUCGUAUUUAACUGUCAGAGGUGAAAUUCUUGGAUUUGUUAAAGACGGACUACUGCGAANGNAUUUGGNAAGGAUGUUUNCAUUG
rnacentral:rRNA from 1 species